rnacentral:rRNA from 1 species
CUACGGGUCGCUGCAGUGAGGAAUAUUGGGCAAUGGGCGCAAGCCUGACCCAGCCAUGCCGCGUGAAGGAUGAAUGCCCUACGGGUUGUAAACUUCUUUUGUAUGGGACGAAACUUCCGAUCGUGAUCGGAACUGACUGUACCGUUCGAAUAAGCAUCGGCUAACUCCGUGCCAGCAGCCGCGGUAAUACGGAGGAUGCAAGCGUUAUCCGGAUUCAUUGGGUUUAAAGGGUGCGUAGGCGGAAUAGUAAGUCAGUGGUGAAAGCCUGUGGCUUAACCGUAGAAUUGCCAUUGAUACUGUUAUUCUUGAGUAUAGUUGAGGUGGGCGGAAUGUGUAAUGUAGCGGUGAAAUGCUUAGAUAUUACACAGAACACCAAUUGCGAAGGCAGCUCACUAAACUAUCACUGACGCUGAGGCACGAAAGCGUGGGGAGCAAACAGGAUUAGAUACCCUUGUAGUC